rnacentral:sRNA from 1 species
ACCAAACCUCUCUAAACGCAAGAGAUAUAACAAUGUAUGAUUUGCAAGCAACCCGGAAGAUAUCUUUUGCUUUUCUACUAUUACUAGAAGGAAUGGUUCAUUGUGGAAUUAUUUCCCAGGAAAGAGAUACAUUUCAAUGGAAACCACAAGGCUGGAAUGGGUAUGUCUUGUUUUGUCCAAAUGCAUGUAAAAACGAGCCAUAUAGACUAGACACCCUUGAUAGCUGCUGCGCAUGCCAUUCAAAAAGUGUUUGGGAUUUCAGUAGGACAGUUUCACAUGUAAAUGUUUCCACUAAAGGAUACCUGGAAGGAAACAGGUCUGCCAGAAAUAUACAUCUCAAUUUUGUCAAAGAGAACUUACAAUUUGUCCCUAAAAACAUUUGCAAUUUUCCAGGAUUAACCAAAAUCAAUCUAGCCUUUAAUCUCAUCACAAACUUUCCGGACCUAUCAUGUCUACCAAAUUUGACUUAUUUGAAUUUAUCUUACAAUAAAUUAUCUUCAUUGUCGAAAACGUUAACCCAGAAUAGGAAUCUGAGAACGGUGGAUCUGUCUGGUAACUACAUCACACGUUUGGAGACCGGAGUAGUGGCUGCACUGUCAGCUCACAGCAUACACCUACAUGAAAAUCAGGUUAUUUCGAUUGAUAUCACAGAUCUUGUGUUUGAACGACCAUAUUGCGUGAUUGAUAUGUCUCAUAAUGCCUUAACAACACCUACAAAUAAAAAUAAUUGAUUUGGAUUUGGAAUAUUUUCAUAUAAUUUGAUAACACGAAUGCCGAAUGCAACCAAAAUUGGCUUUUCGAAUAUGUAUAAUUUAGGUAAGCUGAUUUCAUAUGGGUUUGAUGUUCGGCAUAAUCCGAUAAUUUGCGAUUGUAAGAUCGCCGAGCCCUUGUUACACUUUAAAGAUUUCAUUGAUAAGAUGACAAGGGAUUACUUUGACAUAACGUGUGGUUCACCAGAACAGUUCCAGGGUAAGUCGUUACCAAGCAUUAUCAGGGAAAAACAAAUAAAAGACUUGCUCUGUAAUUUUACUUCGACACCUUUGUGUCCAGCUGGUUGUACUUGUGAAGAAAUUCCUAAACAGAUUGACUAUAGAAGCAUGUCUUUGACACUGACUCUCAUCAUUAACUGUUCCGGGGCAGGUCUAAAGCGCCUUCCUCGUGUUCUUCCCUACAGUGAUCGUAUCGAGUUUCACAUGAGGGGGAACCGCAUACACCAUAUAACUAACAGCCAUUACUUGAGCCACGUAAGUGUGUUAGAUUUAGAAAUGAUGCCCAUGUUCGAUAAGGAUGCCCUAGAUAAUCUAACACGUCUCCAAUUUUUUUCCGUACCGCAAUCGGAGCAGCGAAAAGGAAUUCCUCGAUCCUUGUCGCGUCUGAGUCCCUGUGUCUUUCUCCAAAAGACAGAUUUUGUUAUGGUCUGCACUUGCUCUCAUCUGUGGAUGUUGGACUGGAUAGGUAGUUUUCUGACCAGUAAAUGUGCUUCUUCCGUUUUUAAAUGUUUGAAUGGCACUAUCAAGGAAAAUUUAACAACCUAUAUUUCUAGUCUUAAUUGCUCAGACACGAAAGAUUUUCAUAGAUAUGAUUGGAUGUUUAUUAGCUCCUCUAUUUUGAUACUAGUUUGUUUAAUCAUACUUAUUGUUAAUGUUUGGAACAUUGAACUUCGAAUUAUGCUAAGAUUAAGAAAAUUAUGUACCAAAAAUAUCAAAACUGUAGAUCAGGACUGUGUGGUUUACAUUUCGUACGAUGUCAAUAAUGUAAAAGUUGGCCCAUGGGUGUUCAAGACACUGGAACCAUUUCUAGCAAGUAAUGCUUUAAGUGCUUUUGUGCCCUCUCGUGAUCUGCCCUUGGGAAGUGUAAGAGCAGUGGAAGCAACAUACCAAAUAUCAGUUUCCAGGUACUACCUGGUGAUUCUGUCUGAAGGUUAUUCCAGCGAAGAGUCCAUUGUGACUCACAAUGAAUGGAAGAACAUUUGGAACCGUUACAUGUCCGAUUCCAGAAAAAAACUACUGGUCAUAAAUUUUGAUUUGAUGAAACCAGGCGAUGUGUCCUGUCGAAAACUUGGAGCUUUCUUACGUUUUGGCAAUGUAAUUAAUUUUUCACAGGGCGAAAAGAAAACAUUUUUACAAAUAUCCAAUAUGUUUGUAGAAGAGCUCUUUUGAAAUACGGAAAUUUCCGUUGUACUUAUGUAAAUAUUUGAACUGUGGUUCUUUGCGAACAAGGACAUAUCCUAUUUUUCUUUUGGAGAUUUAAUUCUUUUGUUUGCUUUUAUAUUAAUAGCUAGCAAACUCUACUGGUAUUCAUAGACUUUGUUGUAGAGGGGUAUUUUUCUUAAAUAUAAUAGUAGAAUUAUUGUGAAACUUUUGAAUAUAAGCAAAAAACAUUUUUGAAUUAAAACUUUUUAUUGUACUGAUCUAUUACAACUGCUCAAAUCAAAGCAUUUAACAUAUUUAAAAUACUAACACAUUAUAAUUAUCACUAAGCAUUCUCACUAAGCAUUUCAGAGACAAUGUUUUUCCGUUACACAUACUUGGUUGGAAUCUUGAAAUAACAAGUAAUUUAAUUAACUAUCAAUUUCAUGAAUAAUGUAGUUUGUAUGGUGAUAAUGUUAAGAAAACAAAACUAUUUUAAAUACAUGUAGAUUAUUUAUUUUAUUACUUUGAUUGUGAAAUAUUUGUGAUAAUGAUAAAAAAUAAUAAAUGUAGAGAAAAUCAGUUAUAUGAAUUAUCAAUUUGAUAUCUUGGUAUUUUAUAUACUAGCAUUGAUUUCUUUUUUAUGUUGAUUGUUUUAUUUAUUUAUUUGUUUAUAGCUUACAUUUUCUUAUACACUGGGGCGUGGUGCGAUGGAUUUUGUUUUAUAGUUUUGGCUCCGUUCUUUUAUCCUUAAAUAUGUUAAAUCCAC